CUAUAAUUCUAAGCCCUGAAGAGCAGUUGACAGUCAGUGUGGACAAUACCAAACUAGCUGGACCAAUGGUCUGACUUGGCAUAACACAGUGCUCUCCAAGAUAUUUAUAUCCUGAGAACAUCUUCGGUUCACACAUUGUCCCAUGGAAGACAGAGGAGUGACUGCUGACUGCAUUUGUAAAGUAAAGCCAUUACAGGCCCAAAGUCCGUGGUGGGUUUUGCAGCAAGAUCUGAGAGAAACGAGCGAGGCACACAAAUAGGACCACGACAUCUUGUGGAAAAGUUAAUUAGGUAAUUAGACUGAAAGCUGGUGUCUGGUCCAAAUUCAAACCAACGAAGCUUCGUAUUUGAGCAUGGAUUUGAACCUGGGUCCUUCUGGAACUAGGAAAGAAAGAGAAAUUUAAUUCACAUUUAAAG